UACGAAGGUGGCAAGCGUUGUUCGGAUUUACUGGGCGUACAGGGAGCGUAGGCGGUUGGAUAAGCCCUCCGUGAAAUCUCCAGGCUUAACCUGGAAAGUGCAGAGGGGACUGUUCAGCUAGAGGAUGGGAGAGGAGCGCGGAAUUCCCGGUGUAGCGGUGAAAUGCGUAGAGAUCGGGAGGAAGGCCGGUGGCGAAGGCGGCGCUCUGGACUGCAACUGACACUGAAAGACGAAAGCCAGGGGAGCAAACGGG
rnacentral:rRNA from 1 species